rnacentral:rRNA from 1 species
GUAGGGAGCAAGCGUUGUUCGGAAUUAUUGGGCGUAAAGGGCGCGUAGGCGGCCGAGCAAGUCUUGGGUGAAAUCCCUCGGCUUAACCGAGGAACUGCCUUGGAAACUGCUUGGCUUGAGGCCGGGAGAGGGUGGUGGAAUUCCCAGUGUAGCGGUGAAAUGCGUAGAUACUGGGAGGAACACCAGUGGCGAAGGCGGCCACCUGGACCGGUCCUGACGCUGAGGCGCGAAAGCGUGGGGAGCAAACAGGAUUAGAUACCCUGGUAGUCCACGCCCUAAACGAUGGGUACUCGGUGUCGCGGGUAUCGACCCCUGCGGUGCCUUAGCUAACGCGUUAAGUACCCCGCCUGGGGAGUACGGUCGCAAGGCUG